rnacentral:rRNA from 1 species
UACGGGGGGGGCAAGCGUUGUUCGGAAUCACUGGGCUUAAAGGGCGCGUAGGCGGGUUGUCAAGUCCGGGGUGAAAGCCCCCAGCUCAACUGGGGAAGUGCCUUGGAUACUGGGAACCUCGAGGGAGGUAGGGGCGUGCGGAACUUCCGGUGGAGCGGUGAAAUGCGUAGAUAUCGGAAGGAACACCGGUGGCGAAAGCGGCGCGCUGGACCUCUUCUGACGCUGAGGCGCGAAAGCCAGGGGAGCAAACGGG